rnacentral:tRNA from 1 species
GCAGAUGGUGCCGCGUGGUUAAGGAGACUGACUAGAAAUCAGUUUCCCUUUCGGGAGCGUAGGUUCGAAUCCUACCAUCUGCG